GGGAGCUUGCUCCCUGAUGUUAGCGGCGGACGGGUGAGUAACACGUGGGUAACCUGCCUGUAAGACUGGGAUAACUCCGGGAAACCGGGGCUAAUACCGGAUGCUUGUUUGAACCGCAUGGUUCAAACAUAAAAGGUGGCUUCGGCUACCACUUACAGAUGGACCCGCGGCGCAUUAGCUAGUUGGUGAGGUAAUGGCUCACCAAGGCGACGAUGCGUAGCCGACCUGAGAGGGUGAUCGGCCACACUGGGACUGAGACACGGCCCAGACUCCUACGGGAGGCAGCAGUAGGGAAUCUUCCGCAAUGGACGAAAGUCUGACGGAGCAACGCCGCGUGAGUGAUGAAGGUUUUCGGAUCGUAAAGCUCUGUUGUUAGGGAAGAACAAGUACCGUUCGAAUAGGGCGGUACCUUGACGGUACCUAACCAGAAAGCCACGGCUAACUACGUGCCAGCAGCCGCGGUAAUACGUAGGUGGCAAGCGUUGUCCGGAAUUAUUGGGCGUAAAGGGCUCGCAGGCGGUUUCUUAAGUCUGAUGUGAAAGCCCCCGGCUCAACCGGGGAGGGUCAUUGGAAACUGGGGAACUUGAGUGCAGAAGAUGACAGUGGAAUUCCACGUGUAGCGGGGAAAUGCGUANAGAUGUGGAGGAACAGCAGUGGCAAAGGCUACUCUCUGGUCUGAAAAUGACCCUGGAGGAGCGAAAACUUGGGGAGCGGACAGAAAUGGAUGCCUUGUUAGGCCACGCCGUGAACCAACACCGCAAAGUGUUAACGGGGUUUCGCUCCCUUAUUGAUGCAGGUAGCACAUGAAGCACGCCCCCUGGGGAGUGCGUUCGCAAGAAAGAAACUCAAAGGAAUUGACGGGGGCCCCCACAAGCGGUGGAGCAGGUUGUUUAUUUAGAAGCAGCGCGGAGAACAUCCCCACCUCUUGACAUCAUCUGACAAUCAUAGAGAUGGUAGGUCCCCUUCGGGGGCAGAGUGACAGGUGGUGCAUGGUUGUCUUCAGCUCGUGUCGUGAGAUGUUGGGUUAAGUCCCGCAACGAGCGCAACCCUUGAUUUUAGUUGCCAGCAUUCAGUUGGGCACUUUAAGGUGACUGCCGGUGACAAACCGGAGGAAGGUGGGGAUGACGUCAAAUCAUCAUGCCCCUUAUGACCUGGGCUACACACGUGCUACAAUGGACAGAACAAAGGGCAGCGAAACCGCGAGGUUAAGCCAAUCCCACAAAUCUGUUUUCAGUUCGGAUCGCAGUUUGCAACUCGACUGCGUGAAGCUGGAAUCGCUAGUAAUCGCGGAUCAGCAUGCCGCGGUGAAUACGUUCCCGGGCCUUGUACACACCGCCCGUCACACCACGAGAGUUUGUAACACCCGAAGUCGGUGAGGUA
rnacentral:rRNA from 1 species